CUUGAUGACAGCUCAAUUAUAGACAGUCAUUCCAAUUGUCUGGUCCUUCAGCAGGCUCUCAGCUGGCAUCUAAAAAUGGAGUACAAUCGCUCAGCGAGUUCAUUGCGUACUGGCCAGAGAUUACAGACAUGCUUGGGUUGCGGUGUAGCUGAGUGAGCAGGCCCUGGUAAAGGCGGAGCUGCUGCACAUCGUGGGGCUCCUCUGUGCGCAGGGGACGGCGGCGAGGGUGUGGAAAAGACUUCAAAAAUUUUUGGCUUUGCUCCUAUGGCAGACCAGUAAGGCUUGAGAAGAGACCACAUGCACUGCCUCCAGAGAGCCACCAGUGUGGACAAACAGCAUCAUUCGAACAACAACCUCACUGGGCCAUUCCGUCUCCCAAAUCCUGACUGUCUUUCAAAGCUUUCUCAGAAAAUCUAUUAUUAUGCCCACAUAAUCACAAUAAACUUUGAAUUUUAUACUUCCA